CAGUCAAGUGGGACCGGGUCGGAUGCCAAGGGCUCCGGGGGAUGGGGUCCUGUCCGAGUGACACAUAAGCAAGUAUGGUCUGCCUGAAGCAGCGAUAGAGCACCUCCAGGAACGAGGAUGGGCGAUAAACCCCGACAAGGUGCAGAGACUGGCAUCAGCGGUCUAAUUUUUGUGGCGAGGGUUACCUGGUCGGCGCUGGCAUAGUGCCAACCUCAGGUGGGAGGAAGAUGGACCUGCUGGAGGAAGAGGCCCCUUGGCAGCAACAAGACCAUACAGUGAAUGACCGCCAAGGACAUACCACCUCGCGAAUCUUGGGGUCACAGAGAUAUCUGGAAGGGAGCAUCGAGCCAGGUGGCCAAUGCCUCUCCCCACCCCACCACCCCGCCAUACAGACCCCCCUUUGUUUUGGCACACCAGAGGGGAUAUAAGGCAGUGCAUGCCGGGGGAGGGUGUGGUGUGAUCUCUCCAAGUCCCCCAGCUGCCACGAAUUGUUCAGUGGGUAAGCCCUCCCGCGUCCACUCUAAAUAAACCGUCAACCUGGA